rnacentral:rRNA from 1 species
AACAAACGCUGGCGGCGUGCCUAACACGUGCAAGUCGUACGAGAAAGGGUCCUUCGGGGCCUGAGUAAAGUGGCGCACGGGUGAGUAACGCGUGGAUAAUCUGCCCUUCAGUUGGGAAUAACUCAUCGAAAGGUGGGCUAAUACCGAAUAAUGCUGGAAGACCUCGGUUGAUCAGCCAAAGAGAGCCUCUGCUUGCAAGCCCUCGCUGAAGGAUGAGUCCGCGUACCAUUAGCUAGUUGGUAGGGUAAUGGCCUACCAAGGCGACGAUGGUUAGCUGGUCUGAGAGUAUGAUCAGCCACACUGGAACUGAGACACGGUCCAGACUCCUACGGGAGGCAGCAGUGAGGAAUCUUGCGCAAUGGGGGCAACCCUGACGCAGCAACGCCGCGUGAGUGAGGAAGGUCUUCGGAUCGUAAAGCUCUGUCGGAUGGAAAGAACCGCAUAGGGGUAAACAGCCCCUGUGUCUGACGGUACCAUCAAAGGAAGCACCGGCUAACUCCGUGCCAGCCGCCGCAGUAAUAC